ensembl:snRNA U6 U6 spliceosomal RNA
GUGCUUGCUUUGGCAGGACACAUGCUAAAAUUGUAAUGAUACAGAGAAGAUUAGCAUGGCCCCUGUGCAAGGAUGACACAGAAAUUUGUGAAUCGUUCUAUAUUUUU